rnacentral:tRNA from 1 species
GAGUGUAUAGCUCAGUGGUCGAGUGCAUGCCUGGCAUGUGUGAGGUCUCGGGUUCAAUCCCCAGUACCUCCA